UAAGGAUAACAUAUCUGAUUAGCUUCUAUGGGUAAUUGAUCCACUGAGCUCAAUGAAAAUGUCAGACAGAAAUCAAGGGCAAGUGGUGAUUAUGGAAACCAGCGUUUCUGAAAUCUGCACACAGAGAGAGCAUAUGAUGGGUCACUAGGCCCCAGAUGCUACCAUGAUGCCAGCUGGACUUCCCUGGGCAGAUGACCCCACCAAUGUGUCCUGGGGUCCUGCUUCCCCAGAGUCCUGCUCCACUAGGGA